rnacentral:rRNA from 1 species
CCCGGAAGGGGAGUGAAACAGUUCCUGAAACCGUGUGCCUACAAGUAGUUAGAGCCCGUUAAUGGGUGAUAGCGUGCCUUUUGUAGAAUGAACCGGCGAGUUACGAUUUGUUGCAAGGUUAAGCGGAAAAAGCGGAGCCGUAGCGAAAGCGAGUCUGAAUAGGGCGCAUAAGUAACAGGUCGUAGACCCGAAACCAGGUGAUCUACCCAUGUCCAGGAUGAAGGUAAGGUAAUACUUACUGGAGGUCCGAACCCACGCACGUUGAAAAGUGCGGGGAUGAGGUGUGGGUAGCGGAGAAAUUCCAAUCGAACUUGGAGAUAGCUGGUUCUCUCCGAAAUAGCUUUAGGGCUAGCCUCGAGGUAAAGAGUCAUGGAGGUAGAGCACUGUUUGGACUAGGGGCCCUUCUCGGGUUACCGAAUUCAGAUAAACUCCGAAUGCCAUGUACUUAUACUCGGGAGUCAGACUGCGAGUGAUAAGAUCCGUAGUCGAAAGGGAAACAGCCCAGACCACCAGUUAAGGUCCCCAAAUAUAUGUUAAGUGGAAAAGGAUGUGGGGUUGCUUAGACAACCAGGAUGUUGGCUUAGAAGCA